GGGAAGGGGCUUCGGCGGGUGGGUCUCCUUGGACAGCCGAGGGGGACCCCUUCCCCCAGGAAGGGUGAUGUUCCUGGGGAGCCUUUCAAACUAGCCUGUUUGGCAUCUUCUGCCUUUAUUUUCAGACGCUUGGGCUGUCACUCACCUUUGCCAUCAGGCCAGCCAUCUUCUUCCUGUUGUGAUCGAAGGCAACUCCUAUCAAGCACGAUUUUCGUAACUACUGAAGGGAUUCACAGCAAAAGAGGCGGAUGAAACUGCAGUGAUCUCUCUUGGCUUUGAUGAGGACCAACCAUGAAGAAUCGAAUUCUAGAUCCUUCCCAACACGUGCAAGGCAGAUCAUGAGGUCUUUGUGCCAGGCAGAGAAAGGUCAGGUGCAAUGAUGCCACCAUUUGGACUUAUGCAAUACCCAUGGCAAUUUGCAUAGAGGAGAAGGAGAUCUACUCCUGACGAUGCUGUGUCCUUUGUACUUCCUACUGUAUUGAGUCACUUAGAACAACAGGGAACUUAUGCAAGGCUGU